rnacentral:lncRNA from 1 species
AUUUUCUGCUCCUAUGUGACGACCUUCACUGGCAGAAAUUCUGUUAUAUAGAGUUUGGCCCAAAAUUAUUCUUGGUGUGAUUCCAUUAAAUCUAGUUUUCUGUUUACAUCAAAUUGUACUUGUUUGUAAGUGGUCUGAUUUGAUAUGGGAUUUAACUUACAAGACGUGGGAUAAGAGAACAGAAGUUGUUAAAAGGUACAACAGCUUAGAUUGCCAGAACUGACAUAUUCAUCUGUGAAUGUGUCUCAUUUUCUUUCAGUGCACUUACAGUGUGACAAGAAAGAGGAAAACUGAAAGAAUGAACUUUUAUGCUGCAAAAUUGUGUUUAAUAUACAGCCAGCUACAACAAGAGCUCAUCUGGCUUAAGGCAGGCCAGAUCUGACAGAUAGCGGAUAUGAGGACUUUGCUGACAUCAGAAAGCUGACAGAAACCAACAGACUUCAGUGAAAUACCCCUCCAAGCACAGAGACUUAUGGUAGCUUUAAAGUAACCUGUUGUUCAUCUGCAAAAGACAUGGCUACUGGUACCUUCAGCACACAUGGAGGAAGGCAACAAACAUUGUAACCUGGCUAAUAGGACUCUGUUUUCCUUAUCAAAAGUAGGAGGUAGGCCACUUAUAAAAGGAUUAUUUCAUGCUUAGCCUCCAGGACUUUAACUCUGGCCUGAACACUGGACAUAAAUAGAAGCCAGCUUUAAUGACCUGAGAUUUUGUUACCUGUCGGUUAGUAUCGUUAUCAGUUCUUAAACACUUUGGUAC